UAGUGAAUCAAGCAUUUUUUGAUUCUUUUUUACCCUUCGCAGCCACCGUAGGACUAUUUUCUUUGGGCGUGUUUAGAUGACGUAUGCAUAGGUUGGUCGCACGGACACGGGCCCCUGUAAGUGAAGCGAUGAUUGGGUGAGACUUGAACACCAGAAAGCUGAUUGGCUGAAUUCUGAGCGCCAGUGAAGUUCAAACUUGGACACAAAUGUUGAUCGAACGAGGAGCCUUUCCGCUAAACACAAGAAACAUGCAGAGAGGACUUCUAGCUUACGGGGAAACUUUUUCCUGCUCGAUAUGUCUGGAUCUGCUGAAGGAUCCGGUGACUAUUCCUUGUGGACACAGCUACUGCAUGAAGUGCAUUCAAGGUUUCUGGGAUGAGAAAGAGAAGAAAAUUCAAAGCUGCCCUCAGUGCAGGAAGACUUUCACACCGAAGCCUGUUCUGAUGAAAAACGUGAUGUUAGCAGAUAUAAUGGAGGAACUGAAGAAGACUGGACUCCAAGCUGCUCCUGCUGAUCACUGCUAUGCUGGACCUGAAGAUGUGGCAUGUGAUGUGUGUGCUGGAAGAAAACUGAAAGCCAUCAAGUCCUGUUUGAUCUGCCUGGCCUCUUACUGUGAGAAACACCUUCAGCCUCAUUUGGAUGCAGCUCCGUUAAAAAAACACAAGCUGGUGGAACCCUUCAAGAACCUGCAGGAGAACAUCUGCUCCCGUCAUGAUGAGGUGAUGAAGAUGUUCUGUCGCACUGAUCAGAAGUGCAUCUGUUAUCUCUGCUCCGUGGAUGAACAUAGAGGCCAUGACACCGUCUCAGCUGCAGCAGAAAGGACUGGGAGGCAGAGAGAGCUGGAAGAGAGUCGACAACAAAUCCAGCAGAGAAUCCAGCACAGAGAGAAGGAGGUGAAGCUGCUUCGACGGGAGGUGGAGGCUGUCAAUCACUCUGCUGAUCAAACAGUGAAGGACAGUGAGAAAAUCUUCACUGACAUGAUCCGUCUCAUCCAAAGAAGAAGUUGGGAUGUGAAGCAGCAGAUCAGAUCCCAGCAGCAAACUGAAGUGAGUCGAGUCAAAGAUCUCCAGGAAGAGCUGGAGCGGGAGAUCACUGGGCUGAAGAGGAGAGACGCUGAACUGAAGCAGCUCUCACUUACAGAGGAUCACAACCAGUUUCUGCUCAACUACCCCUCACUGCCACCACUCAGUGGGUCCACACUCUCAUCCAGCAUCAAUGUCCGUCCUCUGAGAUACUUUGAGGAUGUGACAGCGGCUGUGUCAGAGCUCAGAGACAAACUGCAGGGCAUUCUGAGAGAGGAACGGACCCAAAAAAAACUGACAGUCACUUGUUUGAAUGUUUUACCGC